GAGAUGAUUCGGACGGCCGCCCGCUCAGGCGGGAGGAAAGUCCGGACUUCACAGAGCACGGCAUCCGCCGAAAGGCGGAGGUCCGCCGAAAGGCGGAUACGGAAAGUGGCACAGAAACCAGGUACGGGCCCGCAUAAUGCGGGUGCCGUAGUGAAAAGGCUAAACCCUGCCGGAAGCAAGGCCAAGCAGUCCCGUUGUUUUUCUUCGCGGAAAAACGCAAGCUGCUCGUUUGGAAUACGGGACGGGUAGGCCGCAUAGAUGAAUGGCCGUUAGAACAGAAUCCGGCUUAUGGAAUCAUCUCCCCC
rnacentral:RNase_P_RNA from 1 species